rnacentral:rRNA from 1 species
UACGGGGGGGGCAAGCGUUGUUCGGAAUUACUGGGCGUAAAGGGCUCGUAGGCGGCCAACUAAGUCAGACGUGAAAUCCCCAGGCUCAACCUGGGAACUGCGUCUGAUACUGGAUGGCUUGAAUCCGGGAGAGGGAUGCGGAAUUCCAGGUGUAGCGGUGAAAUGCGUAGAUAUCAGGAGGAACACCGGUGGCGAAGGCGGUUCUCUGGGCAUUACCUGACGCUGAGGAGCGAAAGCAUGGGGAGCGAACAGG